rnacentral:piRNA from 1 species
UAAAGAGGUGGAAUUUAGUAGCA